rnacentral:misc_RNA from 1 species
GAAAACAGUAACCCUACUCCUAAAAGACAAGGAACCAGCUUUAUCUCUGCCUUGUAAGCUAGUGAAUGGUUUCAAACCGGAAGAUCCUCCUCCACAACAAUAAACUUUCUGUCACCAACGACCCAGAAACGAAAACAAGCCACUCUUUACUCUGAUCAAAUCACUGUGUUAUUCUGCAGCUCACGACACCCGUUUAUAGAAUCUCCAUGGGGCAGGUCCUCGGCAUAUUUCAGGGCAAGCAGUGGAGGCACAGGGAAAUAAGGUUGAUAACUGACAGGGUUUUUAAUCGCAUCAAGAAUCAAUCUGGAAGGGCUGAUCUGUCGUUUGAAGAUCUAUACAUUACUGUUCUACUUGUCUACAAGUAACCAUUUUUUAUUUCUUUCAGUGCUAAUGUUUGACAACGAUUUAGAGGGUGUGCUGAAAUUUCCAAUUUCUUGUUCGGAGAAUCUCUGAUACAUGUCAAGAAGUGAAAGCCCAAGAAUAUGUUUUAAUUGUGUAUCUUUUAUGUUGCAGUGAUAUCAA